ensembl:lncRNA
GGGAGCCUGACGCAGGGCUCCAUCCCAGGACCCAGGAUCAUGACCUGAGCCGAAGGCAGAUGCUUCACCGACCGAGCUGCCCAAGCACCCCAAUAUGUGUGGUUUUAAAUGCAUAUCAUACUUUAGUAAAAAUUGAAGUUGCAGAAAAGAGUAAAAGAAACAGAAGAUAAAGAAAGGCAAAAGGGAGAAAAAAUAAAGCAUAAUCCCGCUCACUGAGAAAUCACUGUUGUUAAUGCUUGGUGUGUAUUCCUCAGGAUCUUAACACGCAUGUGUACACACAUACACAAACACAUGAGACAGAAUUUCUGGCUGUGUUGGAGUCCAUUAUCCUUAUCUUGAGAGUAGAACAGCCUGUUUUCCUUACUGAUAGCAACAGAAGUAAUAACUGCAUCCCCAAAUCGGGAAUUUAUAUUCUGGCAAGUGCUGGGAAGGAAGAGGUCUGAGAGAGACUUUAGAUGUUCCAUGCAUCUGGGAGGUGGAGGGUCCAGUGAUAAAUCUGCCCUUAUUUAGAGAACAGGUCCCUUUGCCUCUCCAAACUGGCAGCGUGGAUUGUAGCACACACAAUCCAUGUAUUCUUCCUCCAGGCUUUCUAUGCCGUGUAUAGACUAAAUGCUGACUCUGAAUCAUGCAUGGGGCUUGUGGUGAUGAGUAACCCUUGGGUUCUGACCUCCUGGGGCUUUGAGUUGAGUAGUUUCACUCUGGGCAAGAUACUGCCUUCAUGUGAGCCUCGUUUUUUUUUUUUUUUUCAGGAAAAUGGGGAUAAUAAAAUAUGCCGGCGGGGGCGGGGAGGACCUCACUUCUCUGUGUGGAAGAACCAUCUGAUUAUUGAAUGGGAUCUAUACCCAGUAAUGCCAUUUGCUUGCCAUCUGGAUUCUAACAAGGCCUUGUGUAUGUUUGGACCUGCCAGCAGAUGCCGAAGCUGUCUGUGGGUGAGUGAGUUAUGGUACCCACAUCCCACUGGGCUGAAGGAUGAGGCGGGGUCCAUGAUGGUAUGUCUGGUCUCUAUGUCAUGGCAUGGAAGGAAGGGAAAGACUGUUAUUGAGACUUGCUCUUUGCCUGAACUUUCUCUGCUUACAGGCUGCAUCUGGGUCCAAUCGGGAGGGGUUCAGGGUGGGUGGCAGGUGGCACUAGGGAUUCAGUGGAGAAGAAAUACAAAUUCGAUAACACCUAGAGGUGGAAAAUGGAGAACAAGGGAUCUAAAAACAGCUAAAAAUAAGAGACAUGGCAACCAAAUGCAACAUGUGACCCUUGAUAGAAUCCUGGAUUAAAAAAAAAAAUCUGUAAAGGACAUUAUUGGGACUGUUGAGGAAAUUUGAAUAUGACUGUGUAUUAGAUGAUAUAGUAUCAAUAUUAAAUGUCUUAAAUAUGAAAGCAGGGUUCUGUUUAUAUGUAUAUAUGAUAUAUACACAUGUAUAUCUAGAGAGAUGAAACAAACGUGAAAUACUAAGAGUUGGUGAAUGUGAGUGAAGCUUAUGUGGGAGUUGACUGUGCUAUUCCUACUCUUCUGCAAAUUUGAAGUCUUUUAAAAUAAAAAGUGUGGGGAAAAUGCUUGAAAGUCA